UAUUAAAAUAGUUUAAUCAAAAUAUUGAUUUGUGGUGUCAAAGAUUUUUAUAAAUUUUAAUU
rnacentral:tRNA from 1 species